GAUGAACGCUGGCGGCGUGCUUAACACAUGCAAGUCGAACGGUGAACGAGGGAGCUUGCUCCCUCCGGAUCAGUGGCGAACGGGUGAGUAACACGUGAGCAAUCUGCCCCGAACUCUGGGAUAAGCGCUGGAAACGGCGUCUAAUACCGGAUACGACGCGCGAAGGCAUCUUCUGCGCGUGGAAAGAAUUUCGGUUCGGGAUGAGCUCGCGGCCUAUCAGCUAGUUGGUGAGGUAACGGCUCACCAAGGCGACGACGGGUAGCCGGCCUGAGGGGGUGACCGGCCACACUGGAACUGAGACACGGCCCAGACUCCUACGGGAGGCAGCAGUGGGGAAUAUUGCACAAUGGGCGCAAGCCUGAUGCAGCAACGCCGCGUGAGGGACGACGGCCUUCGGGUUGUAAACCUCUUUUAGUAGGGAAGAAGCGAAAGUGACGGUACCUGCAGAAAAAGCACCGGCUAACUACGUGCCAGCCGCCGCAGUAAGAC
rnacentral:rRNA from 1 species